rnacentral:lncRNA from 1 species
AAUCUAAAAUCCCCUAACAGUCGAUCAUUGAUUGGGUGAGGAAAUAAUAUAUACAUAUAUUAAAAAAAAGAAUUCUCUUAUUUAUUCCUUUCCUUCUCGAGUCUCUCUCUCCACCUAUCUCCUACAACAGAGCAUCUUUCGAGUCGAGGGUACCUAAGAAAGCAUUAGGUAGAGGCUGAUUUCGUCGUUAUCACCAUCGGCGACUUUGGUUUAGUUGAUUUAUCGGCUUCUCAGUUUCACUUGGUUCCAAAUUCUUAGAUUGGUUAUUUGUUUGUUCUCUUUGAUUUUCAAUGAUCAGUUGCUUAACAUGAAUUUGUUAUCGCAGCGACCAAUCUUUUCAAGAUCCUACGCAAGUACAGGCCAUAACCAAAUCGGUUUGUUUGAUUGUACGCAAGUACAUGCCACCAUAAACAAGUUGGUUAUAUACUUCUCCUAAAUCGCCUAUCUCCACAACCAGACCUCGGGUUUGGGUCAUCUUAGAUGUGAUGAGACUUCUACUAGCAUCGCCUUAUCUUUUACUGGUGUCUCUGUUCUUUUGUCUCGGUGCUGUCAUCUCCUCAGUCUUCUAUUGUAUCAAAGUAUUUCUUGUUAUAUGAUAUAAUUUAGAAAAACUUAUUUAUUCGUUAACAUAAGAAGAGUAUUUAUACAUAAUGAAAUUUUCUUAUAUGAUAGAAUCGUAUCACA